AGUGAACGCUGGCGGUAGGCCUAACACAUGCAAGUCGAACGGCAGCACAGUAAGAGCUUGCUCUUACGGGUGGCGAGUGGCGGACGGGUGAGGAAUACAUCGGAAUCUACUUUUUCGUGGGGGAUAACGUAGGGAAACUUACGCUAAUACCGCAUACGACCUACGGGUGAAAGCAGGGGAUCUUCGGACCUUGCGCGAUUGAAUGAGCCGAUGUCGGAUUAGCUAGUUGGCGGGGUAAAGGCCCACCAAGGCGACGAUCCGUAGCUGGUCUGAGAGGAUGAUCAGCCACACUGGAACUGGGACACGGUCCCGACUCCUACGGGACGCAGCAGAGGGGAAUAUUGGACAAUGGGGGCGAGCCUGAUCCAGCGAUACGGCGUGGGUGGAGAAGGCGUUCGGGUUGUAAAGCCCUUUUGUUGGGAAAGAAAAGCAGCAAGUUAAUACCCCGCUGUUCUGACGGUACCCAAAGAAUAAGCACCGGCUAACUUCGUG
rnacentral:rRNA from 1 species